GGGGAUGUGGUGACCGAGGUACAAGAAACUACUUGCCUUGCCAUCUUGCUUUAAAGGUGUUCCUAUGUGGCACAGUUACUGCUUGCCUGUUACAUUUGAAACAUCCUGUUUGUUACUACUGUAAAACACUAUUUUUAAUACAGAAAAAGCUCCCUAUAAUGCACUUCAAAGAAACUGAAAAUCACUGAGUAUUUAUUACCAAUGCUGCAGGUACAUUAAUGAACUUGAGAUGGUUCUGUAGGCCUUGCUGGCAAUAAUGCAUGGUACUGUUCUUGAAAUAUCGAAUGGCUUGAAAUUCUCUCCUUGUGAAGGUGGGUACUAUCUUGCUUUCCUUCUCCUCUAAUCCUGUAUCACUGUCUGCAUUCUUUGUUUUUCCCUCACAGCCAUCAGUCAUUGAUAAGCAUUGUUCUAGCUGUAGCCAUGUGCACAUCUUUGUAUUUCCCUAGGAAGGGGCACAGUUAGAACAGCCUGCCUUGCAGUGAGCUGGGCGGCCGGCUUCUUGUUUGAUGACACUCUUAACAGUAUUAACUCCUCAUGGUACAGGAGGACAUGGUCUCACCUCUGCUCAUCCCAUCCUGGACCCCUAGUGGCCUUGCUCCAACCUGUGUUGAUAAGUGCUAGUGGCCUCCUUUUCAGUAAGCCGUCACAGGAAGCCAGUCCUUUCUGUCUUUAAGUAGACUUUUCCACACGGAAAUGGGAAAGAAGCACACCACAAUUUAGAAAAGCUACAGAGGGAAUCCUCUGCAUCACUAAAGUAAUAUGUAAAUUACUUUAGGGAAGAAAUUAAAGGGAGAGUAAAAUUUAACCUUCUUUUCUUUAUUUACACAAACAAGCCCAAAAACUUGCAAAUUUUCUGUGGAUCCCAAGGUAUUUUAUAAUUUUAGUCAAAUAUUUUUUAAUUUCAAUUUUCUUCAGUAAACCGUUAUAAGAAAAGGCAAAUCAACAUGAGCCGGGUCUGAUGGUUCAAGCCUGAAAUCCCAAGUAGCUGUGAGGCUGACACAAGAGGACCCCAAGGUCAGUGAUUUAUAAUCUACAGUGUGCGUUCAGAUUAGCAUAAAAUAAGGGAUGAGGCUCUGUUUCAGUGGUCUAUUGCUCGAGUACAGCAUGCGUGAGGCCAGAGGUUCAAUCCCCUCUACUACAAAAAGGGCAGCAUGCGUUCUCCGGGUCUGUGUGGUUCUGCUUCCUGUCUGGGAAGAGGCUUAAGUGGACCUUUGUGUCAGACCUGGUUGACAGAGAUGCUGUAGCAACAGAAUUGUGCGCCAUCCUUCCCAGCAACGUACCUGUCAGUGCCUGCGCUGCACUCACUUGAGGUAUGGUAAGUUAGACAUUGUAGUGGAUUAACCUGUAGGCUGGGAACGUAACUGAAGCAGCACGUCGGAUGAAAACACAAACUCUAUCCCUCUCCACAAAUGUGCCCGUAGAUUUAGAGUACACACGGCCGUCAGCUCUACGUGGUUUCUCAGCUCGUUAGAUCUCCAUCCAGGUUCUAGAACUGCCAAACCACUAGAUUCGGAGAGUGGUAAACUAUGUAUUGACGAUGCUUCCUCCUGCAAGUACAUCAGUGUUUCAAAAGUUGCUCAGAAACUGUUUCUGCAGGCUCCCUGCUACCUCCUCAGAUGACUUUUGUUGCUUUUAUUGGAAUUUGCCUUUUUUUAUGCAGAGUUUGAGACACAAUCUCACUCUUGUUGAAGUAUCAGUGUACAUUUUGUUUCGAAGUCAUGAAGCAAAAAAGCACAGAUGUUGAACUUGUACAAAAACAUUUAAGAAUGUGUAGGGCACAUGAUGCAGUUGUCCCCUUUCAGGUGGGAACACAGUAAACCAUUUGCUGUUUCAUUUUUAUUCAUGCUCAGAAGGCAACGUGGACUUUUCUUUAAGACACAUACCCGUUGGAAGCUUUAAGAGACUCUUGAAGUCAUUUUCCCAAAGAAGCCUGCUAUUUUGUCUAACUGUGUCCCAGAACUGUGUAAGAACAAGGUGAGGCCAUGUUUGCUGAUAUGAUGCACAUUGUGAGACUUGACUCCUAUUGCCACUGUGCUCCCCUUGAACUCUACCAAUGGUUUCCAGAAAAGACUUUUAUGUGUUUUUCCUUUGCAGAUAGAGCUGAGCCUGAUUCAAAUGAUUUUUUUUCUGGUUUUGUACUUUUUCUUUAGCUUUUGUAUUAUAGAUUAUCUUCAGUUCUUAGUCACUUACAUGUCUGGUAAAUCUUUGGAAGACAAUCAAGUAAAAUGUGAAAGUCCACUUUUGACCAAACCCCUUGGUUAUAUUGUUUUGCUUUAAUUCUUUGCUUGAAAAAUAUUCAAUACUUAAGUCACUGUGGCUUACUGGGUUUUUCUUUUCCUGAUAACACGAUUGACUAUAGAAAUAGAGAGACGGCAGUGUGGCAAGUACAGCCUUUGGAGGUUUCAGAAAAUUACACUAACUUGGCUGUCACUUGAUCCUUGGAACCAGCACAGAGAGUGUGAAUUCUGGUUGGCAUCUUUAUGAGAUGCUGUUUGUACAUCACAGUAUUCCUGUUGAGGGUAACAGGACUAGCCCAGUUAUUUUAUUCAUGUUUCACUGUUUGCACUUUCCAUUGAACAAUGGGUUGAUUCACGUAGAGAACGUAUAUAGUCCUUACAGUUACUGUGUGUUCUAUGUGUCUGCUUCUUCUCCCCCUGCCCUAGGGCGGGAGCAUUAAGUGGUUGUAGCCACAAAGCUGCGGCAAGGAAAAGUCAGAGCUUCCAUGCCUUGGCUCUCUAUAUUGUCACCUGAAGAGCAGCAAAGGGGAGGGGAAAAACAAGGCAGACAAGACCACUAGAGAGAACCCAGAGAUUAUGGGGGCACUGGAGGUUCCAAAUCCUCCAUGGAGAACUGACAGGGCUCUGUAAAAAGAAGUCGUUAAUUCUGUUGGGUUGAACUUGAAAGUCCUCGAACUGCAAAAAUCUAGGGAGUUGGAUGGUUAUAGGGUAUCUAGGUUAACUGUGGCACCAAUCUCAAUUAGACCAAUUUGUGUGUAGUCUCUCUCAUUUUUGGCACUGGGAAUGGUGAAAAUAAAAUGUAUUGAAAUACAGAAGUGAAAAUAGCUCGAGUGUCAGUGAUAUUCUCCCAGAAUGUAUUUUUCUUACCUCGGCAUGUACUGUAGUCACUUGAUAUUUGUAUAUGUUGCUAGAAUUUAGGCUGUUGAAAUAGUGAGAUUCUAAUGUGUUUUUAAUAAAUUAUAUAUGUAUA
ensembl:lncRNA